UAAGAUUUUCCUGGAGAGGAGGGGGAAGAUGAUGGUGUAGGAGGACACUAGGCUCACUGCAUCCUGCUAGUCACUUAGAUUCCACCUACACCUGCCUAAAUAACCCAGAAAACCACCAGAAGACUAGCAGAAUGGAGUCUCCAGAGCCAAGCGCAGAUGAGAGGCCCACGGAAGAGGGUA